UACGUAGGGGGCAAGCGUUUGUCCGGAAUCAUUGGGCGUAAAGCGCGUGUAGGCGGUUCGGUAAGUCUGCUGUGAAAGUCCAGGGCUCAACCCUGGGAUGCCGGUGGAUACUGUCGGACUAGAGUACGGAAGAGGCGAGUGGAAUUCCCGGUGUAGCGGUGAAAUGCGCAGAUAUCAGGAAGAACACCCGUGGCGAAGGCGGCUCUCUGGGACGGUACUGACGCUGAGACGCGAAAGCGUGGGGAGCGAACAGG
rnacentral:rRNA from 1 species